UUGACAUAAUGCUAUGUGAAUCACUACAUAAUCCCACAAUUCACAUAUACUCUUUUAUAAGUAUGUAAGCAUACAUAUAAACAAUUCUAGUAAGAAGUAUGCAUACAUUUAAUUUACAUGUGCAUUUUUUUUUGUAUAUGCUGUCCCUGUUAGCCUGAUAGGAUUAUUAGUUUCCUUUUCCCAUUUCUUUUUUCUGAACUUACUAUUCUGUUCAUAUGAUAUUUGAAAGAGAAAUAUUUGUACUUAAGCUUUCUCUCUCCACCCACUCACUCUUCAAUCAGUUAUAUAAAAUACACCUUGGUGACAUGUUUUCAUCUCAUUUAUUAGUAUUUUAAACAUGGCUUUCACUUCCUUCGUGGUGGUAGUGGACAGGGCAGAGGAGGAUGGUGGAAUUCUAAAGCACAAUUAAACAGAAAAACAUUUUCCUCAUAGAAAAAAAUCAAUGUUUUUUUCUAAACUAUGUUGCUCUCAGAAGUAAAUGAAUCAGCACCAGCAGGACUGACUGACUCCCCGACAGGAGAUGCUUUACCUUCCGCAUUGCGGGUUGCAAAGGAGAAACGCUUGCAGUGAAUGGACCUGUCUGUCCUUCAGUUGCCAAAGAAGAGCCCGGAUGACACAAUAGCUCUCUAUCAAUCCCAUUUCUAUGGUGGCUCACGACUUAUUCUCUCCUGCUAUCCGUCUGCCUGCUUCGACCCUCACUCUCAACCUAACGAGUUUUAAAAAGGACACCUCUUAAAUAGAAUUGCCUAAAACAAUGCGCUGUCAUCCUUUUGCAAGGACAAAUAUAUUCAAAUUGCCCAUGACUUUUAAACACGUAAAAACUAGAUAAAUUAUGAAAAUGUUGCACAUCCUAAUGCACAAAAUAUGUAUCUCGGGAAUAUCCUUCUAUUUUUUCUUUUUUUGGGGAAAAAAAAAGUUUACUAGCGUUUACUAGCCGAUUAUGUUAUAUUUUUAGCCUUUCUAGAAUAUUUAAAGUGUAUUGUCCACGACCCUCCUUUUUAACCCAUUUUCAAUGGGUUUAAUAUUGCCCGAGAUAAGGAGAUGCAACUGUUCAGGUCUGAUUUCCUGUUGUUUCUCAGAUACCGAUAGGGCAUCAUUCACAUGAACGACAAAUAAGACUUCUGAACUGUUUGCAAUUUGGGAAGGGGAGGCUUGUGGGUUGUUCGUUGGCGAAGUGAUUUGUCAAACAACAGUUCGAAAUUAUUCGGGGGUUCUUCGCCCUCCACUUUCCCAUAGCGCGUUUUCCUUUCUCCCACAGAGAUAUAAUAGAAACUAAUCUUCAAAAUCCAAACAUUCCAAGCCCCGUCCUUUUGUGCAGGCAUCUCGCUGUCUGCGCUGGGCACGGAGCGGCGCGCGCGCGCCCGCCUUUCCCUCGGCGGCCCCCCGCGGCUCGGACCCGGGCCGGCAGACAGGCCAUCCAUCAUCCGCCCUCCUCCCGCCGAGCGCCGCCGCCGCGGCCAAUCCGGCGGCAGGUGGGGUCGCACCUGCGGGACAGCCCGCCGCUUUCCUCCGCUCUCUUCGCCGCGCCUCGCGUGCUAGCGGCGCCCUUGUGAGCCACUGCGUUUUCCAAGGCCAGAACGGGACAGAGACAAGAUCUCCCUUUGUUUCCCAGGCUCGUCUCGAACUCAAAAAGUCAGUGACAACAGGAGGUCUGUGGUUGACGAUGGUCCUACUUCUCCAUGUUCUGAGACCAGUUUAAACAAAAACAAAAACCAGACAACAACCUUGCAAGGGAAAGAAUUCAGAGUAAAUAAACAGUCUUUUCUGUGAAGCAAAAUAUUUCCCUAAGAUGGGGAAAUUGAGAUGAGAGCUCAUCCACAAGAUUACCCAUCAGUGAGCACCAGUAGCAACAAAAUCCACUAGACGACUGGGAGCUUUUAAGUCAGGAAACUUACAUCAGUAUCAUCAUUCCAAGAAGCGGUAUCCAAGCUGUUUUAUCAAAAGUGUGCAUGGGAGAUACGAAUAAGCCUGGAUAAGAUUCAACAGAAUUGAACCACAGAAAACCACUUUUUGACCUCAAGGUUGAUCAUGAGAAUCAUCUCUAGGACUCAUCUCUUUCCUUUGCAGAUUGGAAAUGUUUAUAAGGAUAAAAGAUUAAAAGAUAAGGGAAGGGCUUCAUCCCCAAACCCUUUAAAUGUUAUGAUUCUGUCUCUCUGUCUCUCUCUCUCUCUCUCCCUUGCUCUCUCUCUCUCUCUCCCUUGCUCUCUCUCUCUCUCUUUCAUUUCAGGGGGAUACCAAUGAAAGGCACUUAUGGAUGAUAUUCAGACUUUUUAUAUUUUUACCACAUUCCAUUAAAAGUCCGUCUCCAAAGAAAUUUGGCCCAAGAUGGAAUGAAAAAAUGAAAGACAUUUUAUUUUUUCUCCUAGAUGUUGGCAAUACUCCACUCCUACAUGUCUGAGGUUGUUUUCAUCUUGCAAAGGACUUUGAUAUUUGUGAAUGUGGCUACAUGGCUUAAAAAAAUAGCAGUGAUAACUUAUACUAAUUAUUCAACUUUUACAUUAAUGCUUAACAAGAAAAAAAUAAUUUUAUUACCCUUGAUAAUGGCUAUAAAAAUUAAGAAACCCAGAAGGAACGGGAAGAUCUGUGUCCUUAAAAGCAAGUAGCUCCCAUUUCACUGAGUUGUUAUAUCUAAUUCAUCCAGUGCACCCUGAAAGUGAGACCCUCAUGUUCUCUAACUUCCAGUCUAUGCAGAGCCAGCUCUGACUGGGGCUGCUAUAUUUGUCCUGAGGUUCUGAGCCAGUCCUGAGGUUCUCACCCUUUUUGGUGUUGGCAAUGAGUCUGCAUCAAGAAGAGACUUAUCUCCCUUUCUCUGCCUAUUCUUUCUAUCUCUAUUCAAGAUGAAAUUUUAAUAAAUCAGUUAUAUUCAUAUUCAUUCAGCAUUCCUCUUGCUAGGUUUCUACAGAAGCUUAUAAUAUUAAUUGGGGUAGGGGCACAUCAUGCUGAAUAUUUGGAAGCUGAAACCGAUAAAAUGUGAUGUUCUGGAAUAUAAACUGAAUAGUAACAACAUUGUCUGGACUACUGAGUCAAACAAUGAAGUUGGUUUAUGGGUGAGGAGUAAAUAAUGAAGUUGCUUAUAUUUUAUUAAAUCUGUAGGUCCUUUGAAGUGGGUCUGGAAUAACAAGUAAAUACUGCUCUUUAGUUUAUUCCUUGGAAUGUCGCUAUUUCCUUUGAAAAUUGAAUGGCAGACCCCAGAGAGGAAAACAGUCCGAGGAAGGCCAUCUGGAAGGGCAGGAAAGAAGAUCUUGGGAGAAGCUGUCAAAAACUCUCUGGAUAUUAGCUCCCUGUAUGCAGGCCAGUCUUCCCUCCCACGCUGUUCACAUUGAGCUGCAUGUUUACCCUCCCCCGCCCCAUGCCCACCCCAGACCUUAUAGAGGGGCCCUGAACUCAGGAGCUUCUUCGAUGUGUGAAGAAUUUUCAAUGUGUGAAGAAUUUAAAUGUCUUGGUCAGGUCUGGGCAAAACCAGGACAUCAGAUUUGAGAACAGCCUUCCCUCUUGCCUGCCAUGCUAAAUUUUACUCUACCCUGUCAGGAAAUAAACUCCAUAUCAUAAUUCUUCUAUAACUGAUUUUCUUCGGAAGGGAUUACAUCCAACUUGGUAACCAAGCAGUUGAUAUUCAGGAUAGUUUUGCCUUCUAAUGAAUUUGUGCCAAAAUUCAGAAUAUCACAUUACAGCAUUUGCAAAAGAAUAGCGUAAAGGCCAGAGGAAAAAUGAGCAAUGCAGAAUAUUGCUCCUUAAGUCCCAUUCAUCAAAGAAAUACGGACAAUGUGUCCUAAUACGACAACUCAAAUACCUGUCACUAACUCCAUCCAGCUGUGAGUGUUCAGGUGACAAUAUUAACAGAUGUGUGAUUGGAAUUUAGCUGUUUUGGGGGUAUUUUAAAUGAGAUAAUUCUUUAUUCUUUUUUCUAGAAUAAAUUCCUCUUAUUUAGUUAGCCUUGAUAAAACAGUGUCCAGGGUAGGUCUUGAAAUCUCAUAAGAAAUCUCAAAUGAUUAUUUUAGCUCUUUCAACUUUCUCCUCUUCAAAGCCAUUAAACAAAGCAACUAAUGAGUAAAUAUAUAGGAUGUCUUGAGAUUUCUUUCUUUCUCCAUGGUUUAUUCAGAAGUAAUAAAAUAUUCGCAAAGAUGGGCAUGGCGGCUCAUGACAGUCAUCCCAGUACUUCAGGAGUCUGAAGUUAGAGGAUCACUUGAGACCAGCAGUUCAAGACCAGCCUGGGUAACAUAGUGAGAUCCCCAUCUCUAUAAAAAUAAAAUAAAAUAAAUUAGCAGUGUGUGUUGGCGUGUGCCUCUAGUUUGAGAUACUCGGGAAGCUGAGAUAGAAGAAUUGUUUGGGCUCAGUAAUUUGAGGCUGCUGCAGUGAGCUGUGAUUGCAUCACUGCACUUCAGCUGGAGUGACAGAGCAAAACCCUACCUUCAAAAAAAAUAAUAAAAGCAGAAAAUAGUAAAGUUAAAGAAAAAAAUCUUAAUAGCCAAAUCCCUGGAUGAUUUUCAUAGAUUGAAAACUCAAUUUUAGAGGAAAAGAAGCAUCAACUGAAACUUCUGCGUGUCAGUUGCUCACUUAAUCUUCCCAAUGGAGUCAGUACCUAGGAAGCACAAAUGAGGCACCAGAAAGCUGCUACAUUCCAGAACCAAGACUUUUCCUUGAAAGACUAAAUUCUCUGCUUUGUCCUGCUGCUUUGAGAGUUGCUUACGUAUAUGACAAGGCCAUGUAAUAAUCUUGACAUCUACGACUUCUAUUUCAACAACAUAGCUAUGCAUCUUUUCUACAUCCUGAUAGAAGCAGACCUAUCCAGAGACAAGAGUCUUUGUGCAUAGUUUCAACUUUCAUGCACUUUAGUCACCUGGGGUUUUGUUAAAAGGCAAAUUUUGACUCCAAAAGUCCAGGAUGGGGCCUGAGGUUCUGCAUGUCUAACAAUUUCCCAGCUGAUGCCAAAGCUGCUGACCAGGGUCUACACCUUAAGAAGUAAGGACUAUCAGAGAGCAGUGAGCUGAAGUGCCAGAGUAGAGACUUAGGAUAAGGGGCCAAAAGGACUGGCUCCGUCAAAGUUAAAACUUGGCUCCCCUCGGGAAAUUCUUUCAGUGGAUUGUGGAGCCAUUUGCAAAACAAGGGCUAGUGUACUCCUCUGGUUGGCUUUUUCGCCAGCAGGCUUGAGGUUCUCUACUCAUACACAACUCUACUGAAGUCCACCGCUGUUUUGUUUGGACAGGCUGGUCUCAAGUCUGAGCUUGCACACAAAGGGCUUAUCACCAACACUGGCCUUUCUGACAGCUGUUUUCCUUCCUAGAGUCCCAGGGCUCUAGUCUGAGGACAGGAAAAAGGCUUGCUGGAGAAAGAAGGCGUGCUAUCAGCAAGCUGUGGUAGAUGCCUGGCUUUAAGACCUUACGGGGGAGUAUCUCUCCCACACACACCUUCUUACACACACCCCAAAGAUCAGCUUCUCCACUCUAUCCCUGCACUAGAAUAAGUAUGAAAUAAGCAUUUUGAUAAAUCUAUCGGUUUUGUCCAUAAAAGCUGGUGAAGAAGCAGGGACGAAAUUACUUCCUAUAAUAAAACAAGGAAUUUCUAUAAAUUACAAGGACUGAAUGUCAAGUCCUACAGAAAAACAUGCUCGUGGGCAUAUGUGUCCGUGUUGGAACAACACGUAUCCCACCAGCAUGAGGUCAGGCAUUUGAAAUCAGUGUGAGGUAUAUGAGUGCCACAUCUAGGAGAACGGAUAAAAAUCAGGGUCGUUGUCAGCUGUGUAAAUUGAGAGGAAAAGGCGCCUUCAGCGACUUCCUUUGGGGAAGGCUUGUUUUGUGCUGGUGAACUGCUCCCCCUGGUGGAUCAGAAAUCGUCAUGGUCAGGAUUCUAUUCUGAAGGGAGCAAACAAUUGCAGGUAUGGAGAUAUCCUCCCACAUAAAGCUAAUUUCUGAGCCCCCAGAAAUACAUUGAAUCUUGGACCCUGACUGAGUCUGAGCGUGGCCAUCCUGUGAACUGCAAAGUUUGUCUUCCCACAUUAUUGGAGUUGUCUUGUGUAUUCUCAUUAUUAUGAUUGUUUCAAAAUUGUGGCUCUGUAUUGAUUUGAGAGAUAUGGAAGUCUUAAGUCCUGUAUUUUAUUUUAGCUACGCUUUAAAAGUAAUUCUGGAUAUUUACAAGGGGAACAAGACCCACAGCGAGGAGAACAUUUUUCUGUGAAAUCAUUUGUUUCCUUUAAUUUUAGCUCCUCUCUCUGAGGUGGUCACGUUGAUUGUGAUUAAUUUAUGCCUGUACCUCUUGUUCUACUUCCCCUCAGCCUAAAGAUAAGUUUUGUGAUUUUUUUCAGGAUGGAAUUUCUACUUUCAUUGUAUAUGUCAGCGCCAAUAGAGAUAGUUUAUGUUGCUGUUUUCGUUAAAGAGGUUUUUUGUAUGCCCUGCCGUGCACGAAGAGGAGAUUUUGCAGGUUUUGAACUCAGUGCUGUUGUGCAAUUGCAUGAAGAAGGAAAUUAAAUGUGAAAAUUGGCCGAUCUGUCUUUCCUCUGGAUUCCCUCAACAAAGCAGCCUCAUGAAGUACGUGCUGCCAUAUUGACCUCAGUACACACACAGAAGAGCCCAGGGAAUUGCUUCUUUGGGGAUUGGAGAUAAGACUGAUAAUUUAUAGAAACAGACAUUAGAAGGCAGAAAUGUGGAGAGAAGAAGGCUACCUGACUAGGGAAUCUCAGGAUACAAGGAAAACACCAAGGUGAGUUGCCUGACUUUUAGCUUUGCCUGAUACAUCUCAGACCUAGAGCUCAAGGAACCAAGAACCCCAAAACAACAAUGGGCACAGACAAGAAAAGCCCCAACGAACGCCUACUCUGUCUCUAGCCAAAGACAAUGGAAGGGGCAACCAAGCAAGACAGAAAAAUAUUUAGAUAAUAAUCGCUCUAUUCUAGCCAAAUUCCACAAAAACUAAUUAGGUGGUGUCAGAGGAGGCUAAAUAGGAAGGAGGGACUUUUACCCCUGCCCCCUAACCCUGUGAUAUCAGUGGAAGCCAUGUGGAGAGCAGCAACAAGGGACUUCCAUCCUUCACAUGCUGGGAAGUAUAGUGGACCCUUGAACAACACCGGUUUGAACUUCACAGGUCCACCUAGAUGCAGAUUUUGUUAAACAAAAAUGUAGCAACUUCCUGGCAUGUUCAGAUACCCUUCUAGGUACUUGGAAUACAAUAGUAAAGAAAAACAGGCAAAGCCCCUGCUGUCCUGAAAGGUACAGACAAUGGAAGAGGCAUUAGUUUAGGGACUCACACAAAUAAGUAAGUUUGUCUGUAUACUAAGGGUCAUAAAGGGGUGGCAUGUGAGCAUGUGAGAAUAUAGAACAGACACAUCUGCCUGACUAAGGGCAGUCAGAAAACACUUUCUUCAGAAAUGAAUGAUUUAUUUAAAAUCUACAUAAUUAAUUAGGCAGAGUAAGCCAAAAGUUAUCUAAGUACGGGGAGCAUACCUGUGCAGUUUAUUUUAUUGAGCUGAAAAUUAAUUUCCUUCAUAUGAAUCUAAAUCUCUGUUUACCACAAGCCCUCUGUUUCCACAAGUUCUGUGUCCAAAACCAAAGGCAGAUCCAAAUACAAUAUUCGUGGGAUGCAAAUUCCCAUGUAUACCAAGGGAUAACUGCUUUAUUGGAGACCUAGUGGGGAACUGAAACUCCCACUACUGCUUAGCAGGAAUGAGGAGCCCCCUUUCAGAGGUCAACAGAAGCUGAGUUAAGAAAUCUGGACUUUUGCCCCACCUGGCAGUAAUGAAGUGACACCUACCUUCAUCUGUGAGGAUGGUGUGAGAUGAAGCUAGCUAAAACAAAAGUUUUCUAUAAGAUUCAGAGUCUCAUAAUACUGAACUGUCCAUGGAGAAUUACUCAUACAAAAACAAGAAAGAACUAAAACUAAGUGAGAAAAGAUAAUAAAUAUAUGCCAACAUCAAGAUGACACAAAUGUUAAAAUUAUCUGGCAAAACUUGUAAAGCAGCCAUCAUAAAAAUGCUCCAAUGAACAACUAAAACAUUCUUGUAGCUAAUGAAAAUUUAUUUGAAAAGCUUCAACAAAGAAAUAGGAAGUCAUGACUGAAAAUAGAAGAUAAAAGAGUCAAAUGGAAAAUUUUGAAGUGAAGAAUACAAUAAUACAAAAAUCUCAAUGCAUGGGCAUUGAGAAUGGAGGAGAUAGAGGAAUAUCAGUGAACUGGAGGAAACAAUGUAAAUUGGACAUCUAUACAACAAGAGAAAAUACAGUGAAAAAAAAGAUGAAAGGAAUCUCAAAGACUUUUGAGAUUAUAGCAAAACAAACGAACAAACAAACAAAAAACUAAAAACUAACCUUUGCGUUUCCUGUGUCCUUGAAGACAGGAAGAUGACAGACCUGAAAAACAUUCUAAGAAAUAAUGGCUGAAAUAUUUUCAAAUUUAGCACAAGACAUAAAUAUACAGAUUUAAGAAGCUGAGUGAAUCCCAAACAGGAUAAACUCACAGAAAUUCGUAACAAGACACUCAUAGUCAAACCUUUGAGAACUGAAGACAAAAAAGAAAAACAAAAACUCAAUCCAGAUGUCCUUCAAGGGGAAGAUGAUUAAACCAACUCUGAUACAUGCAUACUAAUAGAAAAAAACUAUUGAUACAUGGAACCACUUGGAUGAAUCUCUAAAGAAUUAAGGAGAGUGAAAAAAAAUGAGCUUUAAAAUGUUACAUAUUGUUUUGUUUAUAUAAUAAUAUGAUGGGAAUGACAAGAUCAUAGAAAUGGUGAUUCACUGGGGUUAAGGAGGGGGAAGGAUAAGAGGAAAGAGGGAGUGGCCAUAAAAGGCAGCAUGAAGGAUCCCUGUGCUGAUAGAAAUAUUUCUUAUCUUGACCGCAGCAAUGUCAAUAUCCUGUUUGUUACACUGCAGUUUUGCAAGAUGUUAGCAUUGAAAGGAACUGGGUAAAAGAUCACUCUGCAUUUUCUCUUACAACUGCAGAUAAAUCCACAAUUAUCUUAAAAUAGAAAGUUUAAUUUACAAAAAAUGUUAUGCAAGCCUUGUAACUCAGUGGCUACAUAACUCUGGACUUAGACACAAAGAAUUUUGACUGUCACUUUAACUUCCUGUAAUCCUGGACAAGUAUUCAGCCAGUCUGAGCUUACUUUCUUGUCAGUUAAAUGGGCAUAAUGAUAGUUACCCUACUUACUGAUAUUUCACCAACUACAGUCAGGAUGAAAUAAAAGUGAAAUAAUGAGCAGAAAGGGCUUCUUUUUUAUUGUUCUUAGGAACUUUUAUUAAAAUGUCUAUUAGAGAUCAAGGCUCCCAACACAACUAGAGAGACAUUGACACAGGAACUGGUGGUGGGCAUGAAAUACCUGGUUGCUUGUAGAACUAAGACUAAUUGAAUGUUAUGUAAUCCCAGCACUUUGGGAGGCCAAGGUGGGUGGAU